GACGAACGCUGGCGGCGUGCUUAACACAUGCAAGUCGAACGGAAAGGCGCCUUCGGUGGUACUCUAGUGUCAAACAGGUGAGUAACACGUGCGUAACCUUCCCUUGACUUCGGGAUAACUUCAGCAGACUGGGACUAAUACCAGAUAGGAAUCCUUUCUGCAUGGUGGUGGUUGGAAAGUUUCGGCGGUUUUUGAUGUACUCGCGGCGUAUCGGCUUGUUGGUGCAGUUGUGGCCUACCAAGGCUUUUACGGGUAGCCGCACUGAGUGGGCGACCGGCCAUACUGGGACCGACAUAAGGCACAGAUUGCUACGGGAGGCAGAAGUGGGGAAGCUUGACCAAGCGGCGCCAGCUUGAUGCAGAAACGCCGCGUGCGGGAUGACGGUCUUAGGGUUGUAGAACGAAUUCAGAAGGGACGAAGCUUGUGGUGACGGUACCUGCAGAAGAAGCAACGGCUAACUACGUG
rnacentral:rRNA from 1 species